rnacentral:rRNA from 1 species
GGGGAAUUUUCCGCAAUGGGCGAAAGCCUGACGGAGCAAUACCGCGUGAGGGAGGAAGGCUCUUGGGUUGUAAACCUCUUUUCUCAGGGAAGAUAGUGACGGUACCUGAGGAAUCAGCAUCGGCUAACUCCGUGCCAGCAGCCGCGGUAAUACGGAGGAUGCAAGCGUUAUCCGGAAUUAUUGGGCGUAAAGCGUCUGUAGGUGGACGUUCAAGUCUGCUGUCAAAGACCGGGGCUUAACCCUGGAAAGGCGGUGGAAACUGAAAGUCUAGAGUGCGGUAGGGGUAGAGGGAAUUCCCAGUGUAGCGGUGAAAUGCGUAGAGAUUGGGAAGAACACCGGUGGCGAAAGCGCUCUGCUGGGCCUGCACUGACACUAAGGGACGAAAGCUAGGGGAGCGAAUGGGAUUAGAUACCCCAGU